ACCCAGCUGACGAGCCCUAGAUAGGACGAAACACGUGUCCUAUAU
rnacentral:hammerhead_ribozyme from 1 species